AGCUCAGUGAUUGCAGCCAAUUACAUUGGCAAUAUACGCUAUGCUGACCUCAGUUCGAUGAAAAGUUGAGUAUGAGAGCU
rnacentral:snoRNA from 1 species